UCUUACGCUCAGCAGCUCUGCUCAUGAAUGGAAGACGGGAAGAGGAGCAGGAGGAAGAAGCGGUGGGAGAUGAUGUGCAAAAUCACCUGGGAAAUGAAGAAGAAAAAAAAGUGGGACCUUUAAAAAAGAAGAAGCAGCAGCCGAGGAUAUUCAUGAGCCCACUGUGUCUGCAAAGGAUCAGCUGAAUUGUAAAGACACGAAGAACACCACUAAGACAUUAGCUGGCAGCUCUUAUUCCAGCUACAAAGAAGGCCUUGUCACACUAGCAUUAGCAUUAGCAUCAAGCCUCUGCCACUCUUGCCAAGCUUGGGCAGUCCUUUCAUGAUAGCAAAGCACCAAGCUCACAAUGGUUGAGUCUCUGUUAUCUUGAUUGUCUGGACACAAGACAAAGAAGGAUGUCACAUGUGGGGGAAAACCUCCUGCUUGCUGAAAAUGGGACUCAUGAGGUAACAGCCACCUUUAAAAAAAUAAAUAAAAAUAAAGCGAGAAAGUUGGAGGAGCAUGCAGGCAGCAGAAAGAAACCGUCUAUUGCACAAAUGAAGGAAGUACACGCCCAAAUACAAGCGUAUUUCCAUCUAGUUUGCAUGGCGUCGGCGACAAGUUUAAAAGUUUCUAAGUAAACAAAAAGCUAAACAGCUAAACAGUAAUAACAGUUAUCUUGCUAAGAAGUGCUCGCUGAGCCUGGGAACUCCUUGCACUUUUUUUUUGUUUUAACUUACAAAGCUAAGUGAAACACUAUAUUUGAGUUACAGAAAUUUUGAAAAAGUAUUUACUGUGGCAACUCCACGAAACUAAUUUCUAUUGGCUAAGAUAAAGAGGAAAAAAAACUUCAAAUCCGAAAAGAUGUUGAUAGACAUUCCUAAAGGCACAUUUUUAAAAAUGUGUUGCUGAUGUAUUAUUCUAUUUUACUGCAACCAAAUAUUGCCUCAAAUAGUACUCGGAUAACAAAAAUCAAUAUCGGCCCUGAAAAAAAACAUUCUAUUGCUACGUUUAAUCUGAUCUGAAUCCUGAAUCUUCGAAUUGUGAGGCAGUCCGCUGAGCGAUCGUGCAAGCAAUAGUUCAACAUUAGACAAAAAAUAAAUAAAUGAAAACCACCAAAUUAUUUCCUUUUUAAUCGCAAUCUUGCACCCGAACCCAUGGAGUUAAAUUUACAUAAUAUAUUGCUCUUGUUUACUAAAUAACACAUUGGGACACCCCAAAUCAACAUUAUCUCCUCCUCCUAGCACACCCAGCCCAUUGUCAUCCAUCAGUGAUGACAAAACAAAACAGUAAAGCCAUGUGGAUUCCAGCAUUGGAUUUGAUAGACGUCACGCCUUGUUAGCACACUUUAUACUGCUAGCCUACACAUUAAUUGGCUUUCAGGCCCCCCCAUUUAAUCCGGACACAGGCAAAGCUGCACACAAACACUGACAGAAAUAUAUUCUAAACUCACACCCAGUUCACAUUACGCAUUGUUAUGAUUCAUUUUGAUGAAUUGAUCCAACUCUGAACUUGUAGUUAGCGUCAACAUGAACUGCAACUGGGGUUAGUUAGCGUCACAGCUCCAUAAGAGCUUGUCCGUUUCAACAGCGGCCAACCUUAGUUGACUGCAGGGAAAAAAAAACAAGUUACUCCGACAUAGUUUAUUUUGAGUGUUGGAUAUUGUCGCGCAUGCAUUUAAGGAGGAGGAAAAGCCUGUAUGCAGGCCACCACUCCUGUCAAGCUAGCUUGCUACACUACACAGACACACAGUUUUGUUUCCGCAAAGGGAAAAGCAUGGUGAAUUGAAACAGGUUAAAGUUCUCUUACCUUUAAAUCACCGCGGUUAUAUGUUGUCAAAUGACGUUUGGCGAAACAUUGAAUACGCCAUUUUCGUCACAAGCCAACACAGCAUCCGAACGAGCUGUAAACACAAGCUCCGAGCAACCCGCUGUCACAGGCAGUGCGCAUGCGCGUGUUACGGCACACUAUGCCCUUCUGCAUGGUGAUGCGAGCUCUCCAACGCGCAUGCGCCUCACGCACACAACAUGAGGUUUUCGUGACCUACGAGAUUUAGACCAAAAUAUUGUGAUUUUAGAUUCUGAACAAGGAUAAAACAACAAAGAUGAAAUUUCCUGUUUCUUUAUUGUUGCAUGCAGCCAGUCUCAUCUCAGAAGCAUUUUGUUGCUUUACAUCACUGUGAUAUGCAAGAAGAGACCAAAUAAAUAACUCACGCACACACAAAAGUCCAUAAAAAUGACCCAGUUAAAAGUUUUCAUCAACACAAACUUUAGCGUAGCCAAGCAUUAGCAUAUGCUAAAAGGGGGGAACCUUUUGCAAAGUGACAUUUCCAAGGAAAUAAAUGGAAUACAUAACUGUAUUAUUUCAUUGAGGGGGGGGGGGGACAUGUUACAUUUUGCUGU